rnacentral:rRNA from 1 species
UGGGGAAUAUUGCACAAUGGGGGAAACCCUGAUGUAGCGACGCCGCGUGAAGGAAGAAGUAUCUCGGUAUGUAAACUUCUAUCAGCAGGGAAGAUAGUGACGGUACCUGACUAAGAAGCCCCGGCUAACUACGUGCC